UAUGUAGGGCGCAAGCGUUGUCCGGAAUUAUUGGGCGUAAAGAGCGCGCAGGCGGCUGGUCAAGUCCGAUGUGAAAUCUCCCGGCUCAACUGGGAAACUGCAUCGGAAACUGAUCGGCUUGAAGAUGGGAGAGGGUAGUGGAAUUCCCGGUGUAGUGGUGAAAUGCGUAGAUAUCGGGAGGAACACCAGUGGCGAAGGCGACUACCUGGCCCAUUCUUGACGCUGAGGCGCGAAAGCUAGGGGAGCGAACGGG
rnacentral:rRNA from 1 species